UACUCCUACGGGAGGCAGCAGUGAGGAAUAUUGGUCAAUGGGCGGAAGCCUGAACCAGCCAAGUAGCGUGCAGGAUGACGGCCCUAUGGGUUGUAAACUGCUUUUAUACAGGAAUAAAGUUAGCCACGUGUGGUUGUUUGUAGGUACUGUAUGAAUAAGGACCGGCUAAUUCCGUGCCAGCGAGCCGCGGUAAUA
rnacentral:rRNA from 1 species